rnacentral:sRNA from 1 species
GAUUUUGGGGCACUUAACAAAACUUUCCUUACAACCUGGAAAACUUGUCGACUGGAAUCAAUCUCGGAGGAAGGCAUACACUAGAAAGCCAAUUGAAGAGGUACGACUGGCAGAAAUACAGCGUUAAUAAAGUUGAUAAAUGGCGUCAUGGAAGCGUGGAGUUCACCUUACUUUGUACUUCCAUUUUUCACUACAUGCCUCAAAAAUUUUACUGUAUCUUUUCUAUACGCUGUCAAUUUUUUUCAUAAAAUGUUGGUAUGUUUAAAGAAAUAAGUCGAUGAAGGGAGGAAGCUUAAGGUAUAACGAAAGAUACAAGCUUUCUCUGCUGCCUUAAUUUUCAAGAAUUUUUAAGGUUUGCCGUUUCUUCAAAACAUUGUUUUAUCUCUUUCAACAAUCAUUUUUUAAUGCAAUCUCUCUUUUUAUUUAGUUUUUAAAU